UUAUUGGAGAGUUUGAUCCUGGCUCAGGAUGAACGCUGGCGGCGUGCCUAAUACAUGCAAGUCGAGCGAAUG
rnacentral:rRNA from 2 species